rnacentral:rRNA from 1 species
AUUGAACGCUGGCGGCAGGCCUAACACAUGCAAGUCGAACGAGUGGCGGACGGGUGAGUAAUGUUUGGGAAACUGCCCGUCGCAGGGCGAUAACAACUGGAAACGGUAUCUAAUACCGCGUACACUCGGAUGUGCCCAGAUGGGAUUAGCUUGUAGGUGAGGUAACGGCUCACCUAGGCGAAGAUCCCUAGCUGGUCGGAGAGGAUGACCAGCCACACGGUAACUGUGCCACGGUCCAGACUCGUACGGGAGGCAGCAGUGGGGAAUAUUGGACAAUGGGCGCAAGCCUGAUGCAGCGAUGCCGCGUGUGUGAAGAAGGCAUUGGGGUUGUAAAGUACUUUCAGCGGGGAGGCGUUACCCGCAGAAGAAGCACCGGCUAACUCCGUGCCAGCAGCCGCGGUAAUUC